CCUACGGGAGGCAGCAGUGAGGAAUAUUGGUCAAUGGACGAGAGUCUGAACCAGCCAAGUAGCGUGAAGGAUGACUGCCCUAUGGGUUGUAAACUUCUUUUAUAUGGGAAUAAAAUGUUCCACGUGUGGGAUUUUGUAUGUACCAUAUGAAUAAGGAUCGGCUAACUCCGUGCCAGCAGCCGCGGUAAUACGGAGGAUCCGAGCGUUAUACGGAUUUAUUGGGUUUAAAGGGAGCGUAGGUGGAUUGUUAAGUCAGUUGUGAAAGUUUGAGGCUCAACCGUAAAAUUGCAGUUGACACUGGCAGUCUUGAGUACAGUAGAGGUGGGCGGAAUUCGUGGUGUAGCGGUGAAAUGCUUAGAUAUCACGAAGAACUCCGAUUGCGAAGGCAGUUCACUGGACUGCAACUGACACUGAGGCUCGAAAGUGUGGGUAUCAAACAGGAUUAGAUACCCGUGUAGUC
rnacentral:rRNA from 1 species